rnacentral:rRNA from 1 species
AAAUUGAAGAGUUUGAUCAUGGCUCAGAUUGAACGCUGGCGGCAGGCCUAACACAUGCAAGUCGAACGGUAACAGGAAGCAGCUUGCUGCUUCGCUGACGAGUGGCGGACGGGUGAGUAAUGUCUGGGAAACUGCCUGAUGGAGGGGGAUAACUACUGGAAACGGUAGCUAAUACCGCAUAAUGUCGCAAGACCAAAGAGGGGGACCUUCGGGCCUCUUGCCAUCGGAUGUGCCCAGGUGGGAUUAGCUUGUUGGUGGGGUAACGGCUCACCAAGGCGACGAUCCCUAGCUGGUCUGAGAGGAUGACCAGCCACACUGGAACUGAGACACGGUCCAGACUCCUACGGGAGGCAGCAGUGGGGAAUAUUGCACAAUGGGCGCAAGCCUGAUGCAGCCAUGCCGCGUGUAUGAAGAAGGCCUUCGGGUUGUAAAGUACUUUCAGCGGGGAGGAAGGGAGUAAAGUUAAUACCUUUGCUCAUUGACGUUAC